rnacentral:rRNA from 1 species
UGUGGCUUAAUUUGACUCAACGCGGGAAAUCUUACCGGGUCCGGACACACUGAGGAUUGACAGGCAAUAUCUCAUGUUAACGGUAAGUUUACUUACCGCUUAACAUCGAGUGUUAAAUAUGCUAGUCCUUUCAUGAUUAUGUGAUAGGUGGUGCAUGGCCGUUCUUAGUUCGUGGAGUGAUCUGUCUGCUUAAUUGCGUUUCACUAAGGGCCCAUAAAUUCAAGGUAUGUUAGCUCUCGUCGCUCUAUGGACCCCUUAACUCCAAUAUUCUUAUUGUGUUAAGCGCGUGUCUUUAUUUUAAGAGUUUUAAGACACUGCGCAUGCUGUUGGGCUCUGAAAGCAACGAACGUGACCGCAACGUCUUGUUGCCUUAAACUAGCGUAUAUUGCAAUUUAUUGCAAUAUCGCUUACAGAGGCUAUUUAAAACUAGACGGACCGCUGUUUCUUUCUUAAACCAGAGGAAGGUUGCGGCAAUAACAGGU